GUGAGGAAUUUUCCGCAAUGGGCGAAAGCCUGGCGGAGCAAUGCCGCGUGAAGGAUGAAGGCCUAUGGGUUGUAAACUUCUUUUCUUAGAGAAGAAUAUUGACGGUAUCUGAGGAAUAAGCAUCGGCUAACUCUGUGCCAGCAGCCGCGGUAAGACAGAGGAUGCAAGCAUUAUCCGGAAUGAUUGGGCGUAAAGCGUCUGUAGGUGGCUUCAAAAGUCUCCUGUCAAAGAUCAGGGCUAAACCCUGGGCCGGCAGGAGAAACUCUGAGGCUAGAGUUUGGUAGGGGCAGCGUGAAUUCCCGGUGGAGCGGUGAAAUGCGUAGAGAUCGGGAGGAACACCAAAGGCGAAAGCACUCUGCUGGGCCACAACUGACACUGAGAGACGAAAGCGAGGGGAGCAAAAGGGAUUAGAUACCCGAGUAGUCC
rnacentral:rRNA from 1 species